rnacentral:rRNA from 1 species
GGCGAACGCUGGCGGCGUGCUUAAUACAUGCAAGUCGAACGGAAAGGCCAUGCUUUUGCGGGGUGCUCGAGUGGCGAACGGGUGUGUAACACACGAGUAACCUGCCCCUGACUUUGGGAUAUAUUUAGGAAGCUGGGGCUAAUAUCGGAUAGGAGCUCUUGCUGCAUGGGGGGGGAUGGAAAGUUACGGCGGUUGGGGAUAGACUCGCAGUUUCUCCGCUUGUUGGGGGGGUAGGGGCUUACCAAGGGUUCGACGGGUAGGCGGCCUUGGAGCUUGGCCGGCCACAUGGGGACUAAGGGAGGGCCCAGACGCCAACGGUAGGCAGCAGGGGGGAAUAUGGCACAAUAAGCGGAAGCCUGAGGCAACAACGCCGCGUUCGUAAUGACGGCCUACGAGUGAUGAACCGCUUUCGCCGGAGACAUGGCGGGAGUGACGUUAAUGAAUAAAGAAGCACCGGCUAACUACGUG